UUAACUCAAAUUUUAAUGGAGUUGGAACGUUUGCCUAUGUUUGCCGCUAGGGACGCUGUUCCAACUGCAUACAAAUUUGAGUUA
rnacentral:pre_miRNA from 1 species